rnacentral:rRNA from 1 species
UAAUUAGCCGUUUAACCGGAUCAUUGGGUUUAAGGGUCCGUAGGCGGGAUAAUAAGUCAGUGCGCCGAAAGUCUGCAGCUCAACUGUAGAACUGCCAUUGAUACUGUUAUCCUUGAGUAAUUAUGAAGUGGUUAGAAUAUGUAGUGUAGCGGUGAAAUGCAUAGAUAUUACAUAGAAUACCGAUUGCGAAGGCAGAUCACUAAUAAUUUACUGACGCUGAGGGACGAAAGCGUAGGUAGCGAACAGGAUUAGAUACCCUGGUAGUCUACGCCGUAAACGAUGGUUACUAGCUGUUUGACCUAAUUGAGGGUUGAGUGGCUAAGCGAAAGUGA